GGAUGAUUGGCUCCUGAUUCAGCAUCACCCAGGUCAGGAAGUAAGAAAGAGUGCCUUUGGUUUUUGGACUUUAAAAGGCAGGCAGAAAACUCAGAAGGAUUAUUGAGUCCCUGGUGGGCUGUAUUUGCUUUGCAAUUUCUUGCAAGAUCCUGCCAGUUCCAUUUUGAUACAUCCUUAUGAGCCAUUUUGCUUAUAAAGAGUGCCUGCAAAACUGGAAGGAGCAUUCUCCAUCUGCUCUAAUCCCUCUUCCUCUGCACCAGUGGGUUGGCUCUAGAACUCAGUGACAAUUAACAGAAGCAUUAGCUUCAUGAAGUAAAAUGCAAGGUGGUUUACAAACAUUUAAAACAAUAUAAGAGAUGUGGGAGGCCGCAGCUGCUGGAAACUCCUUCCUGCCCCUCAGCCACAGGAGCACCCGAGGCCAUCGAAGCUUUCAAC